UACGUAGGGUGCAAGCGUUAUCCGGAAUUAUUGGGCGUAAAGAGCUCGUAGGCGGUUUGUCGCGUCUGCUGUGAAAACUGGAGGCUCAACCUCCAGCCUGCAGUGGGUACGGGCAGACUAGAGUGCGGUAGAGGAGCAUGGAAUUUGUGGUGUAGCGGUGGAAUGCGCAGAUAUCACAAGGAACACCAGUAGCGAAGGCGAUGCUCUGGGCCGGUACUGACGCUGAGGAGCGAAAGCAUGGGGAGCGAACAGG
rnacentral:rRNA from 1 species